GAUGAACGCUGGCGGCGUGCCUAAUACAUGCAAGUCGAGCGAACGGACGAGAAGCUUGCUUCUCUGAUGUUAGCGGCGGACGGGUGAGUAACACGUGGAUAACCUACCUAUAAGACUGGGAUAACUUCGGGAAACCGGAGCUAAUACCGGAUGAUAUUUUGAACCGCAUGGUUCAAAAGUGAAAGACGGUCUUGCUGUCACUUAUAGAUGGAUCCGCGCUGCAUUAGCUAGUUGGUAAGGUAACGGCUUACCAAGGCAACGAUGCAUAGCCGACCUGAGAGGGUGAUCGGCCACACUGGAACUGAGACACGGUCCAGACUCCUACGGGAGGCAGCAGUAGGGAAUCUUCCGCAAUGGGCGAAAGCCUGACGGAGCAACGCCGCGUGAGUGAUGAAGGUCUUCGGAUCGUAAAACUCUGUUAUUAGGGAAGAACAUAUGUGUAAGUAACUGUGCACAUCUUGACGGUACCUAAUCAGAAAGCCACGGCUAACUACGUGCCAGCAGCCGCGGUAAUACGUAGGUGGCAAGCGUUAUCCGGAAUUAUUGGGCGUAAAGCGCGCGUAGGCGGUUUUUUAAGUCUGAUGUGAAAGCCCACGGCUCAACCGUGGAGGGUCAUUGGAAACUGGAAAACUUGAGUGCAGAAGAGGAAAGUGGAAUUCCAUGUGUAGCGGUGAAAUGCGCAGAGAUAUGGAGGAACACCAGUGGCGAAGGCGACUUUCUGGUCUGUAACUGACGCUGAUGUGCGAAAGCGUGGGGAUCAAACAGGAUUAGAUACCCUGGUAGUCCACGCCGUAAACGAUGAGUGCUAAGUGUUAGGGGGUUUCCGCCCCUUAGUGCUGCAGCUAACGCAUUAAGCACUCCGCCUGGGAAGUACGACCGCAAGGUUGAAACUCAAAGGAAUUGACGGGGACCCGCACAAGCGGUGGAGCAUGUGGUUUAAUUCGAAGCAACGCGAAGAACCUUACCAAAUCUUGACAUCCUUUGACAACUCUAGAGAUAGAGCCUUCCCCUUCGGGGGACAAAGUGACAGGUGGUGCAUGGUUGUCGUCAGCUCGUGUCGUGAGAUGUUGGGUUAAGUCCCGCAACGAGCGCAACCCUUAAGCUUAGUUGCCAUCAUUAAGUUGGGCACUCUAAGUUGACUGCCGGUGACAAACCGGAGGAAGGUGGGGAUGACGUCAAAUCAUCAUGCCCCUUAUGAUUUGGGCUACACACGUGCUACAAUGGACAAUACAAAGGGCAGCGAAACCGCGAGGUCAAGCAAAUCCCAUAAAGUUGUUCUCAGUUCGGAUUGUAGUCUGCAACUCGACUACAUGAAGCUGGAAUCGCUAGUAAUCGUAGAUCAGCAUGCUACGGUGAAUACGUUCCCGGGUCU
rnacentral:rRNA from 1 species